UAUGGUCACAUCAUGUUGAAACAUUGGUUCCUGUACGAUCACUGAAAUUAAGCAAUGUCAAGUCUGGUUAGUACCUGGAUGGGUGACCGCUUGGAAACAACAGGUGCUGUAA